rnacentral:tRNA from 1 species
GCCUGGGUGGCUCAGUCGGUUAAGCGUCCGACUUCGGCUCAGGUCAUGAUCUCAGGGUUCGUGGGUUUAAGCCCCACAUCGGGCU